rnacentral:tRNA from 1 species
GCUGAAGUGGCGGAAUAGGUAGACGCGUCAGGUUCAGGACCUGGUGCCCGUUAUUGGGUGUAGGGGUUCAAAUCCCCUCUUCAGCACCA